rnacentral:rRNA from 1 species
CAGCCGCCGCGGUAAUACCGGCGGCCCGAGUGGCGGUCACUAUUAUUGGGCUUAAAGCGUCCGUAGCCGGGUUGGGAAGUCCUCCGGGAAAUUUGGCCGCUUAAAGGUCAGAAUGGCGGAGGAUACUCCCAGCCUAGGGAGCGGGAGAGGCCGAGGGGAUUCCCGGAGUAGGGGGGAAAUCCUAUAAUCCCGGGAGGACCACCUGUGGGGAAGGCGCUCGGCUGGAACGCGUCCGACGGUGAGGGACGAAGGCCAGGGGAGCAAACCGGAUUAGAUACCCGGGUAGUCCUGGCUGUAAACGAUGCGGACUUUGUGUCGGACAAGCUAUGAGCUUGUCCGGUGCCGGAGGGAAACCGUUAAGUCCGCCGCCUGGGGAGUACGGCCGCAAGGCUGAAACUUAAAGGAAUUGGCGGG